UUCAAUUUUUUUCGCCUCAUUCAAAGCUGCCGUGUAUAAUCAUUGAUGGUGACUUUGUUUGAUGAUACCGUUUCAUGACUUCCUAUUCUAUAGUUAUCGCCAUCAAUUUAAACCAUUUCGACAUUAUGCAAGCAUGCAAUUCCCUUGUUCCAACAGCGAAUAAUAACUUUUGAUGAAACCUUACUGAGUCUAAUGUUUUUGUUUUUUUCUGUAAUUUUCAGAUAAAUCGCCGAAAUAUUCAGUCUUUCAAUAACCUCACUUGCAAAACGAUAUUCCAACCGUUUAUAUUGUAACUGUGCAUCAUUAGAUAUGUGGAAUAUAUGACGCUAGUUGAUUUGUCCAUUAAGUAAGAAUCUUCAAUAGAUUUCUGCUGAAUUUAUCUCUCUCAUUAUUUGAUAUCAUUUCCAGCUUCAUUUCAUUUCAACCUAAAAUAGAGCAAAUUCCAGACACUGAGAGACAAGUUUUGAGAAUUCUCUCUUUUUUUCUCCCUUGUUUGUUAACCUAGUCACGUAUUUUUAUUCAAUGUUGUUUGUCAUCAAAAGCAUUUUUAACUUUACAUAGCUUAACUAGAAUAGAUUGAACAUCAGAACUCUGUAAAUUACGGGUGCUAAAAAUAUUUUGUUUUUAUAUUUAAAGUAUUGCGGCAGUGUUAUCGUCAUGAAUAAUAUUAGCGAAAGUCACAAAUUGGGAAGAGUGGCUCAGUAGACCUUAUCUACCCUAGUACUCGACUGGUAUUUCAUUUCAUCAAUCCCCAGAAGCACAAAAAUGCUCAGAGUCAGCCCUGGCAGGAUUUGAAAUCAGAACAUAAAGAUACUUCAUUACAAAAUAUGCAGGAAUUUAGUUCACUGCUUUACGAUUUCUCCAUUUAGCUACUUGACAUGUUUUGUGUUGUGAAUUUAAAACCUACAAGGGUUGGCUUCAAUUUUCAUGGUUCCUGGGAGCGAUGAAAUACCAGACUAGUACUGGACUACAUUCGCCUCACAAAACCAUUCUUACCAAGUGGUUACUUUGGAUAAUAUUAUUCACAUUGUACAAAGCCAUAGAUAUUUAAAUUAAAGUAGUGAGGUAAGGCAAACAACUAGGCAAGACAUGACAAGGACAUUUAAUAUAAUUUAAUUCAAUCUAAUUUAGCUACAUAACGAAUAGUAAAAAAAAUAAUAAAGAAAUAGUCUCCGACAGUUGUUUCUGGGAUAUCCCAGUUAUGGGAGCAUCGUAUUGAGCGAGGACUGUGUAAGUUGAGUAUUCCGUUAUCGGAGAGAUAUAGGUUAGACAGUGGAAGAAAGUUCCUCAUCAAUGAUAUUUUUGGGGGUUCAUUAAGUUCAGGAGUGUGGAAGGGGCCAAUUAAAUCCAGUUAGAUCGGGUAUUCUUUAGAUAGAUCCAGGGUCAGAAAGGACGGUUAGGUGAGAGAAAGGAAAGAAUGGUUACGCAUUACUCCAUAGCGAGGGAAAAUGAAUGCUAGCAGUUCCAAUGGCAGUCAUACGUAUUUAUAAGAGUGGGUUAUAAUUAAUCGACUCCUAGUAAAUUACUGGUUCAUAUUUUAUCUCUGCUCACCUCUUUUCAGCAAAAAGAAGAGCAAUUCGCCUCAGGUAGAUUUUAACGAUGAAUGCCGUAACCUAAUACUACUAGGCUGUAAUGUAGGUACUUCACCAUCUUCGCCAGACUAGAAAUUAAAUGGAAAUACUCUACCAAUUUAAACCUUCUGGCUUAUAUCCUGUGAGUCACCUCAUAAGAAUUGUUAUUAAAGCUAAUGAUUUUGUUGACGUCAUAAGAACUUUAUGAGCAUUUGAGAGAACGUGAAAUAAUAAUUUUUUAGAAUUCUCGAAGCACACACAUAAGGCUAUAAUCAAUAUCAUGUAAAUAUUUAAAAACUAUUACUUAUAGAUGUAUGUGUGAGUUAGUGAUCUCCCUCUCGUUGUAGCUGUUAUUUCAACUGGGUAAAAGUGAUAAAAGUUCUCACUUCAUUAAAUUAGCCUGUACUUAAUUAAAUGUACUUCUUGGAGAAGGUAUCACUGGCAAUUUUCCAAUAUCACUAGUUUAGUCUAAUGUAUUGAAAUGUUGCGAUAUGUUUAUGAACUACCCAUUCCUUUCCUAUAAUCUUAUGUUCCUUUCUUGUGUUUUCUAUGCAUCUAAUGAUUCUGGGUCACUUUUCGUGGUUUGAGAGAUUAUUGAUUAGCUAAACAUUAUAAUUUACACAGGUAUCAUAGGUAGGGAGACUGAACGUAGGAGUAUUGUGGUUUUGUAUUUUGUAGAUUAGCAAAAUUCGGAGCUUAUCACCCAUCUCUCACGCUAUUAUUAUCCUCAAAUGUAGGAGUUCUGAAGGCGUGAGAAAGAUGAUUUUAGAUCCUGUGAGUUUGCAAAUACUAACGAUUUCAGUUAUCUAUCCAACUCUAUGCAAGGGUGGGAUGGGGUGAUUAUUAUUUAAUAAUUUUAAUUACAAAAUGUAAAAUAAUUUAUAUAGUUUUUUUUUUCAAUAUAGAAUAUGCUUGAAGUCAAAUGAAUGACAGUAACAGUAUAGUGUUGAACUAAUUGUUCUGAAGUACUGAGCAGUGCCAGCAGCAGACAUUACUACCUGGAAUAUUGGCACGAACGAAUCCGAAAACAAAGUAAACGGCGGAAGAAUACAACUGGUAAUAGAGUACACACACACAAACAUACAAGCACACACACAUGCGUGCGCGGUGGGUGAAUAGCAGUGUGACGUUGCGAUGCUCUCGCCUUUGCCAGAGAGCAUUAGCAGAAUGAAAAUCCUGAGACUCAGUUAAGACGUCAUUGAGUCCGCCAGAUGUAAAUGCUAGAAGCAUCUAUGAGCUCAUUCAGCUCGCUAGAUAUAGCAGCUAAAUUCUCUAAUCCCUGAAAAUUCAUACUUUAGACCAGUGGUUCUCAACCUUUCUUUUUUACUUAUGGAGCCCUUUGAUAAUUAUUUUAUUCUGGCAGACCCUUCCCCCAUAACCAUUUGAUGUUCAAAAACUAAUUAUAUAAAAACUUUUUCCAAAAUUCAUUUUUUUUUUUUUCACACAUUAACUUGUCUAUGUUGAACUAUGUAAAAUGUUAGAGAGAGAAACCUCGCUGUUUCUUGCAAUACAUACCAAUACAUCUAGUGAAGGCGCGUGGCUUAGUGGUUAGGGGCAUUCGGCUCAUGAUCGUAAGGUCGUGAGUUCAAUUCCCGGCGGCGCGUUGCGUCCUUGAGCAAGACACUUUAUUUCACGUUGCUCCAGUCCACUGAGCUGGCAAAAAUGAGUAGUGCCUGUAUUUCAAAGGGCCAGCCUUGUCGCACUUUGUGUCACGCUGAAUCUCCCCGAGAACUACGUUAAGGGUACACGUGUUUGUGGGGUGCUGAGCCACUUGCACGUUAAUUUCCCGAUCAAGCUGUUCCGUUGAUCGUAUCAGCUGGGACCCUCGUCGUCGCAACCGACGGAGUGCUCCUUUCUACCAUUACAUCUAAAGCAAAAUUUUUUUAGGGGCCAUUAAAAUACUGUUGUUGAUCCCCAAUUAACUAAUUUGCUACGUGCCUCUCACCAACCUGAAUUUUAUAUGGACCCCCAGGGGGUCAUAUGGACCUCGGUUGAGAACCACUGAUCUAGAGUCCUGAAGAUAGGCAUAUCGAGCAACGUCUAAGUUACAGAAUUCUCGAACAAAGUAACGAGUCAAUUAUGGAAAGAAUGAUUUUUUUUAACAAAGGAUAUUUAGAUUAGGCACUCUUUACUCUCUUUUACUCUUUUACUUGUUUCAGUCAUUUGACUGCGGCCAUGCUGGAGCACCGCCUUUUAGUCGAGCAAAUCGACCCCGGGACUUAUUCUUUGUAAGCCUAGUACUUAUUCUAUCGGUCUCUUUUGCCGAACCACUAAGUGACGGGGACAUAAACACACCAGCAUCGGUUGUCAAGCAAUGCUAGAGGGACAAACACAGACACACAAACAUACACACACAGAACACACACACACACACACACAUAUAUAUAUAUAUAUAUAUACAUAUAUACGACAGGCUUCUUUCAGUUUCCGUCUACCAAAUCCACUCACAAGGCUUUGGUCGGCCCGAGGCUAUAGCAGAAGACACUUGCCCAAGGUGCCACGCAGUGGGACUGAACCCGGAACCAUGUGGUUGGUAAACAAGCUACUUACCACACAGCCACUCCUGCACAUAUAGAGUUAAUAAAAAACAUCACCAGGAUAGCAACACAUAACCCUCAUACAUGUAUACAACAUACACGAACACUCAUUUUGAAAUCUUGCUAAAUUUUACCUUUUACUUCGCAAUUAAAUCGCCCAUUCUAAACUCAUUUAUGUAUUGGUGUACACCCGCUUCUACUGUCUGGGUGAUUAAAUGAAGUGAACAAAAACGUUAAUGUUUAUAUCCCUUACACUUCAACCGGCUCUCAUAUACGCACGCUCGUAUGCAUACACGCACACACACACACACACACACAAACACGCACCCGCCACAAGCAUACACACACAUCCUUAUGCAUUCAUUUCUACAAAUAUAAACUAAUGCUUUCUUUCGAACUUAUCUAUCAUUCUUCUUUGUCUAUGUCUGUUGGUCACCGACACACAGACACAGACAGAAUACACACUUGUAUAACAUGUUCAGGUCGUAUAUAUAUAUAUAUAUACAGAGAGGAAGAGAGAGAUAAAUAUACUUAUCUAUCUAUCUAUCUAUCUAUCUAUCUAUCUAUCUAUCUAUCUAUCUAUCUAUCUAUCUACCGAUAUCCCUCUCUGUAUGUAUGUUUAUACAUACAUAUUUAUAUAUUUAUGUAUAUCUAUAUCUCUUCCUAUAUAUAUAGAUAUAUACAUAUAUGCAUAUAUGUAUAUACAUAUAUAUGCAUAUACAUAUACAUAUACAUAUGUAUAUAUACAUAAACAUAUACAUUAUAUAUAUAUUCAUAUACAUAUAUGUAUAUAUAUAUAUAUAUAUAUAGAGAGAGAGAGAGAGAGAGAAAGAGAGAGAGAAAGAGAGAGAGAGAUACAUACACACACACACACACACGUGUAAUAACCAUAUACAUAAACACCUUCAAACGCGCACACAUUUUUUCUUCUUUUUUUCUAGUUUCAGCUCAGAGCUGCGGCCAUGCUGUUGCACCGCCGUUGAACAAUUAAUAAAUGCAUAUAUGUUAAAUUAUAAUAUAUCUGUCCCUGUCUCUCUGUUUGUCUCUCUCUGCAUGUAUGUAUCUAUGUAUACACACGUGCGCACACACAUACGCACGCACACGCACGCACAUGCACUCUCCCCCACCACACAAACACAAACUUAUAUAAGCGCACAUGCACACGUACACACACAUGUAUGUGUGUAUAUUAUAUACAUACACACAUAUAUCAUAUUAUUAUUAUUACCAUUAUUAUUAUUAUUAUUAUUAUUAUUAUUAUUAUUAUUAUUAUUAUUAUUGAGUGAGAGAGCAGCACAUACCAUCAAAGUGACACAGGGGUAUAAUUAUACGAAGCCCAAUACACCCAUCACGACUACCCGUCUGAUAAGGGUACACCAGGCACAUCCAUCACAACCAUAUGUGCGCGACAUGGUGAUCUUAUAUUAAGAUAAACAGCAUAUGAGCUUACAGAUGGGGACCAGUUAGAUUUUCUUCAGGUUGAGUAGCCCAUCCCGCUCAAAAGAUCCGUGAAUAAGGUUUGUUUCAGGAUGAUGAACGAAACACCCAUGUUUCUAGACGUGAAUUAUUCAAAUCCCAAAGAAUUUCUUUCAACACACGGUUAUGAUGCUCCCCCACUACUUCUGCUUGUGAUCAAAGAUGCAUAUAUUGCCAUUCACUAAGGGACAUGCUCAACUGGUUAAGGUCAAACAACUGACAAGCAAAUCUGUGGUAUUGAGCAGAAUAUUUGCUGUAGUCCAUCUCAAUCAAGACAAAACAAUGUACAUGAUAACACUUCCAAUUAGUUAAGAUCAGAAGCCAUGAGAGCCAUUGCCUGAUGUUGCAUCAGGGCAGUUUUAUUAUUAUCAUUAUUAUUAUUAUUAUUAUUAUUGAGUGAGAGAGCAGUGCAUGCCAUCAAAGUGACACUGGGGUAAAAUAUACGAAGCCCAAUAUACCCAUCAUUACUACCCGUCUGAUAAAGGUACACCAGGCACAUGCAUCACAACCAUAUGUGCGCGACAUGGUGAUCUCAUAUCAAGAUAAACAGCACAUGACCUUGCAGGUGGGGCCCAGUUAGAAUUUUCUUCAGGUUGAGUAGCCCAUCCCGCUCAAAAGGUCCCUGAAUAAGGGUUGUUUAAGGAUGUUGAAAGAACCACCCAUGUUUCCAGAGGUGAAUUAUUCAAACGCCAAAGAAUCCCUCUCAACACAUGGCUAUGAUGCUCCCCACUACUUCUGCUCGUGAUCAGAGAUGCACAUAUCGUCAGCCACUAAGGGACAUGCUCAACUGGUUAAGGUCAAACAACUGACAAGCAAAUCUGUGGUAUUGAGCAGAAUAUUUGCUCUAGCCCAUCUUUUAUACCAAGACAAAACAAUGUACAUGAUAACACUUCCAAUCAGUUAAGAUCAGAAGCCAUGAGAGCCACUGCCUGGUACUGCAUCAGGGCAUUUAUUAUUAUUAUUAUUAUUAUUAUUAUUAUUACUUUUUUUUCUUCUUCUUUCAAAUUUUCUUCCAUUUCUUGCCGAGUGUCUUCCCGACUCCUAGGGCAAAGAAACUCAUAGUGUAUAUUGGUAGGCCAUUAAACCAAACUCAGUAGUUCGUUCAUUUUUAUUAUUAUUAUUAUUAUUAUUAUUAUUAUUAUUGUUGUUAUUAUUAUUAUUAUUAUUAUUUUUAAUAUUAUUAUUAUUAUUAUUAUUAUUAUUAUUAUUAUUAUGAUUAUUAUUGUUAUUAUUAUUAUUAUAAAUAACAACAACAACAACAGUAAUAAUUAUAAUAUCAAGAACAACAGAGUACAAUAUCAUAUUGUCGUAUAUGUUACAUUAUCACGGCGUUUCAUAAAGGAGAUGAGAUAACCCCAGCAAUCAUCAGAAAUGUUCGAUCGUCUUCUUCAGUAGCAUCUUCGUGUAGAACUCGUUGAAUGAAAUCCUCAUAUUCUUUGUAAAGUAUCCAAGGUCACACAAUUGAACAGCAAUAAAAAGUUACAUGUAAAUAUUCUUAAAUUUUUAAUGACUCUGAAGAGUGCCCUGACAUGGGUUAACAACAACAGAACACAUGUCACGAGAGGCUUAUUGCAAUAUAGUCCACAAAACAUAGGAACGUAUAUUGUGUGUGUAUGUGUAUAGAUGUGUGUGUAUUUACACAUAUAUGAAUACAGAAAAAUAUUCGUAUACUGAUAUACUAAUAUAUACGUAUGUACGUAUGUUUGUAUGUAUGUAUAUAUGUACGUAUGUAUGUAUGUAUGUCGUUAUUCAGUUUAUUUUAAGAUUUCAUACCAAUAGAGAGAGCCGGUUUCUAACCUAGAUCCAAGGCUCUUUCAUUGGAAUUUCAACAUCAACACCAUGGUAUUUUUCUUUGUAUGUAUGUAUAUAUGUAUGUAUUUAUGUAUGUAUGUUUUAUGUAUGUAUUCUCAUGCAUAUAGUUGCAUAUCUAAAUAUGCUCAUAUAUACAUAUUUAUGCCAACGGGUAAAUGUUGUGUAUAGAAUACAAAGUAACAAAUGCAGCAAGUUCUAUGUGGGUAGCACAACAAAACAUCUGAACACGAGAGCCUCCUCCUUCAGAAAACAUCUAGACAGAUGCCGGAACACCGACAAAGGCAUAACAGUCACAAUUGAGGCCAAAGAAAUUUAGGUAAUCUAAGAAUUAAGGAAGCUAUCCUCAUAGACAGACUAGGGCUUCAAAUUAACAACAGGCUGGAGGUUGGUAAUAAAUUAACCACCAGUGAACUACAAUUCACACUCUAGGAGUUAAUAAAAUAAGAACCAGUUUAGUACUGGGGUCGAUGUAAUAGACCUAUACCCUAUUCCGAAUUUGCUGACCUUCUGCCAAAGUUUGAAAUCAUUAUUAAUAUCAAACCAUAGCCUAUUUUCGAAAGAAUUUAACUGAAAUAUUUAAGUAGCAUAAAUUUAAGAUAAUGAUAGCCAUCUUCUUAGAUACCAAGCUAGAUCGACAAUACUAUGCAAAAACCAACAAACAAAAGCACCAUAUACAACCCUCCAAAAUCCUCCAGUAGCCAUAAUUAGGACAUUUGUAUAUGGCUCAGCUUGAAUAAUUAGGUGUCUUUGAGUUGUCUUCAGAUAGGGAUAACUUUAAUAUGGGAUACCUCUUUUCGUAAUGAUGCGCUAGCAUAAAACAUAAUCAAAGAGAAGCUGGUAUACGAAGAGCAAACUCUCUUCCACGAUACACUAAACCAAACCAAACAGGAAGAAUAGGAUUUGGUUUAGCUCGUUAAAUGACUUGUACAGUGGACACAGUGGAUACAGUGGAUUAAACUAUAUUAAUUCUUAAUAAAGGCGGCGAGCUGGCAGAAACGUUAGCACGCCGGGCGAAAUGCGUAGUCGUAUUUCGUCUGCCGUUACGUUCUGAGUUCAAAUUCCGCCGAGGUCGACUUUGCCUUUCAUCCUUUCGAGGUCGAUAAAUAAAGUACCAGUUUCGCACUGGGGUCGAUUUAAUCGACUUAAUCCGUUUGUCUGUCCUUGUUUGUCCCCUCUAUGUUUAGCCCCUUGUGGGCAGUAAAGAAAUAUAUAUUAAUUCUAGUAAAAAAAGAAAGAAAAAAAUUCUCAUCGACAUAUAAAUACAAUAAUCUUUCAACACGUUAUAGUUACCUAGUCCUACUUAGACAAUGUUGUCUCCAAUAUUUCAUUCCACAAUCGAAAACACCUACACUUAACAUUUUCACUCCAACAGCCAAAUUGUAGCUCUUGAAAUCAUUCUACUUUCAAAACCAUUUGACAUUAAACUGAAGGAUUGCUGAAUACUUUUUUUUUUUUUUUAGUAGAGUACAUAUUUAUUUACUUUCAUAACGAAAAGUGAUCACAAAGUUUUUGGUUGCCCAUCAUUAUCAGACCCUCUGAUGAAGGCUGCCAAUCUCUUCCUUUUAAAAGUUAAAUUAUCUGUUUGUCGACCUAUCAAUCAAACAAUAAAUCAAGCAAGCAAGCAGCAAGCAAGCAAACAAGCAAUCGAUCAAUCUGUCGCUUCACCCCCUGUGUGUGUGUGUGCGUGCGUGCGUGUGUGUGUGUGUGUGUGCGUGUGUGUGUGUGUGUGUGCGCGUGUGUGUGUGUGUAUGAGAGAGAAAGAAAGUGAGAGACAGACAGAAAGAAAUUUAAUGAUCAAUAUUUGAAAAGAUAGGAGACGUUUAGAUAUAGAGCGCAUAUACGUAAUUAAGGAAUGCUCUUCAUCCCUUGAAAUUGUGAGGUCAAUGACCUCUGCGCGGUGAUCUGAGUUGGCGCCGUCUAUCACAGCAUCGACUUGCUAAAGCUUUGUAAUUGAAGUUUCAUUGGCUGUGUGUUAAAAUCCAUCUUGCAUAAUCGGCGAGGAUAUAAAAAAAAAUCUACCUAUAUUGUGAUAAACAGAUAUGUAAGUAUGUGUAUUUGUGCAACACACAUGUAACACGUAUGUGCAGGUGCGUGUGAGAAAAAGAUAGAGGAAGAGAUAAAAGGAAAGAGAGUGAAUGAGAAGGAGGACAUGGUGAGAAAAAGCAAAAGUAACAAAGGGUCUGAAUCCUUUUAAAGGAGAAGCAUAAACAGAGAUUGACAGACAGAGAAAGCAACCGAGAAAGGAAUAGCGCAACUGAAAAGUAAAGGGAAUCACUGUCUGUCUAUCUAUCUAUCUAUCUAUCUAUCUAUCUAUCUAUCUAUCUAUCUAUCUAUCUAUCUAUCUAUCUAUCUGUCUAUCUAUCUAUCUAUCUAUCUAUCUAUCUAUCUAUCUAUCUAUCUAUCUAUCUAUCUAUCUAUCUAUCUAUCUAUCUCAUCUAUCUUUCCUUUUGUUCCUUUUCCUUUUCUUUUUUCUUUUUAUUCUUUUUAUUUUAUUCAUUUUUUUGUUUUUUUGUUUUUGUUCUUUUCUUCCCUUUUACGAUCCCUCUUGAUCGAAAACCUACGCCACCCCUUUUUUUUCUUUUGUUUUUUGUUCUCUUUAUCCCCCAAAAGAAAAGCUCUACCUUGUAACUUGUCCCAUCUGUGUGCAGCCCUGUGUGGCCAAUAAAGAAACUUAUCUAUCUAUCUAUCUGUCUGUCUGUCUGUCUGUCUGUCUGUCUGUCUGUCUGUCUGUUUGUAUGUCUGUCUAUCUAUCUAUCCAUCCAUCCAUCCAUUCAUCCAUCCAUCCAUCUAUCUAUCUAUCUAUCUAUCUAUCUAUCUAUCUAUCUAUCUAUCUAUCUGUCAGUCUCUCUGUCUGCUGCCUGUCUGCUGCCUGUCUGAUUGUCUGUCUGUCUACCCGCCUAUCUAUAUAGUGGGUGAGAUAUACAUAGAGAAAGAGAGAGAGAGAGAGAAGGAGAGAGAGAAUGAGAAAGAAGAAAGAGAGAGAGAAGGGGGAUAGAGAAAGAGAGAGAGAAAGAGGUGAAGGAAUAUCAAGAAUGCAAGUGGAUAUGGAAGUGAAACUGUCGUCUGUUGAAAAAGCAGCUGUAGAAAGCUUCAGGCUAUUUACGCAAUAUUACAAAGCUGGAAUAUUUGCGACAAGUGCAAUGAUAUGCACAUGAGAGUGCGACCAAUGGAAGUGCGUGCAACAGCAGCUAUAUUGUAUGCUGUAUGCACCCACUUGUCAGAUAUUACUAUCAUCCCUUUUUCUUGCACUCCUGUUCUGCAACGUGUCUACUAUGGCGGCCAACAAUUUAGCUUUCCUUACUUUACAAGUGAUUUUAAUACUUCUAUCUACAUUUAGUUAUAUCUAUUUACCUUGUAGCACUCUCCAGUUUAGUGUGGCUAUGUAUCAAUCUCUUGUUUAAUGUCCACCUAUGGUGUAUUUCUCUUUACCUCAGAUUACUCCUCUCCAAUAUUAUGCCCAUCAUAUAUCACAAAGUCUGUCACAGUUGCUCUUGCUCUCUUCCAGAGCUUACAUUAGUCUCUCACUCUCUGUCAAUCUCCAUUGAUAUUUACGACUGCCUUCUUUUGUAUACCAUUAUUGUUUUCUCUAAUAGGCCAACGAAAUUAAGCAGAAAUCUAAAAUGCUGCAACUAUAGAAUAUAGAAAUAUGUGUAAGAUUGUAAACAAUAAAAAGUUUAAGAUUAACCUCAUGCGACAUUUCUAUUAAUACUGCAAUAAAUUUUGAUGAUUUCUUUUGCAAUAAAUUAUCUUCCACGGAAAUGAUUAUUUUGUAAAACCUGCCUUUCAUUUUUUGUUUUUUUUUUAAGAAUCUAUUUUCAACAGAUUUUUCUUUUGCAAGAAUCUUACAUUUGCAAGAGACUGUUUCUUUGUUACUUUAUUGAUUUACAAGAAUUACUAUAAUAAUAAUAAUAAUAAUAAUAAUAAUAAUAAUAAUAAUAAUAAUAAUAAUAAUAAUAAUAAUAAUAAUAAUAAUAAUAGUAAUAAUAGUAAUAAUAAUAAUAAUAAUAAUAAUAAUAAUAAUAAUAAUAAUAAUAAUAAUAAUAAUAAUAAUAAUAGUAGUAAUAAUAAUAAUAAUAAUAAUAAUAAUAAUAAUAAUCAUUAUUAUUAUUAUUAUUAUUAUUAUUAUUAUUAUUAUUAUUAUUGUUAUUAUUAUUAUUAUUAGCAAAAGUCAUUUUUUUCUUUGCAAGAACAUUAAUUGCAAGCGUAUUUUGUUUUACAAAAUAUUUUUUCCACCAGAAAAUUCUCGGUGUUUUUUUUUUCAUAUUUAUAUUUUGAAUUUUUUGUCAAAUUGAUUUUUCUUCUUUUUUUCUUCUUUUUAUUUUGUCGAGAAAGUUUCAUUUUAUAGAAUCUAAUAUUUUAGAAUAUUCAAGAAGAAUUUAUCUGAUCAUAAUAUUAAACUGCAUUCGAAUGGUGUUUGUGAAUCAUAGCAAAAAUUAACUGAAUAAUAUAAAACAUACAAAAUUUGAACUUAAAAUUAUCAAUAUUAUAGUCGCUCUUUUGUCUUUAGAUUCUGAAAUGCAUAACUGUUUCAUCUAGUUUCUAAGCCGGCUUUGGAAAAUACUCUCCACUGUUAGCAGAUACCUAAUAAUAUCCGUAUUCAUGUUUUUGCCUAUACUGGGCAACUUGAGACUAUACGUCAACAUCUUACUAUAAUGGGCGUUAUGUUCGUUUGUCUGUCUGUCCAUCUGUCUAUCUGUCUGUCUGUUCGUCUGUCUGUCAGUUCCCUUUUCACGGAUAUUAUUUCGUGGAUAUCGAUUUUUGAAUUGAUAAACCACCUUCGCAUUUUUAUUAAAAAUUCACCGACCACGAGUAACUCUGGAUUUUCAUUGUAUAGUUCGUGGCCCCAUCGUAGGUACGAAGGGGGUCUCGAGGACAGUUUAUAGCGAAAAUAAAAUGGAAAAAGUGUUUGUCAGUAUAUAGCGUGUGAUUAUUUAGUGGUUAUUGAAGUGUGUCAGUCUCAGGCAAGAUUCGAAACGGCUAAUCGAAGCGGCUGUUGUUUACAUUUCAGUUUUGUCAAUCAAACCAGAACAUUCAGACGUUAUUCGCAUAGAAUAGUGAGAGGUAAGUCUUAGUUUGAUUUUUUGCAACCCUAAAGGUUCCGUUCGAGCAUUCACAGCAAACUAGGCACAGGACCAGUCUUUAGAUCAUGUGGGUGUAUUUUUACCCCCUCCGAUAUUUACACACAGCCAGUUCUACGUCGCUAUGAGUAGAGCAGCGGACUUCAGUAAUUUGAAAAUUAGUGUCGACCAAACAGAAAAUAUCAUCUACAAAGAAGUUUGGUAAUCAUAUUGAUAUUAUCGAAAGGAAUAUGAUUCAUAGUUUAAAUAAGGAAAUUUGUGAACUUUGAAUGUGUAAGAGUAUAAACAAGCGUAAAAUACUGUAAACAACUAAGAUAAAAGUAUAUCUAAAUAACAUUUUUUAAAAUCCUUUUUUAUGUAGUGGUCGCAGGAAGCUCUGGCUUUCGUUAGGAUUGGUCCACAUAACCAUUCAUGAUACUGAGGCUGGGAGCCUAUUUCAGUUCGAGAAUAAAUCAUCAUCACAUGGCACUUAGUCGCUAACAUGUGUCAUAUAGCUGCAAUAGAAUGCUGUAUCACCAACAAUAAUGUGGUUUCUCUAAGACAUCACCCAGUAAUCUAUCAAGUCCAUUUACAUAUUUCUCAAAACAUACUGCUGUUAUGACUCAUCCCACCCCUCAUUUUAUGCCUCUAUCGUAGAUGGGUAGAUUUGCUAGUAUUAGUUAUACGUGGUCACUACACAAUCAUCAAAUGGCAUGAUAAGCCUCGACUGUUAUAAAUUAUAUUUAUUGGUUAUGGCUACUACAUUGUGAGAACAAUGCGAUACUUCAAGGUGAGAUGGAACCCUCUAUUUUAUCCUUCUCUGACUGUUUGUUGCUCUCCUUGUCUCUUUCUCCAUACACUUAAAUAAUUAUAUGCAAACGUGCAUAUAUUCACACAUACACGAACACAUAUAUAUAUACACAUAUUUACAUAUACAUGCUUACAAACAUAAUGCACACACAAACACAAACACACACAUACAUACGAGGGAUGUUGAAAAGCUCCUGGCUUUGGGUAAAAGAAAAUACAGAAGGAUCAGUUAAUUAUAACCUUAUUCAACAUAUUACCCCGCUCAGAUUCACACACUUAUUGCAGUGGUCCUUCAGUUUUUCUAAGCCCCCUAAAAGAACUCAGAAGAUUGGGCCUCAAACCAGAGCUAUCGUGAUACUCUUAAAGCCAGGAACUUUUCAGCACCCCUCGUAUACACACACACACACACACACACACACACACACACACACACACACACACACACACACACACACAUAAAACUGAGAAUGUGUGUCUGUAUGUGUUCGUCACUAAAAUUCGAGAACUACCCAACCGAUUUUAUUCAAAUUUUACACGUCUUACUUAGGGUCCAUGGAGUAUCAAAACAUUUGGAACUUCUUGCCUAAUGCGGGCCCAGAGCAAUUUCUUAUUUCUUACAAUGUUUCGGUAUUACGUGUCAAAAGUGAAAUAAUAACAUCUCUAUUACAAUAUGAUAUGAUACUAUCACUAUCAUAUGGUUUCAAUCUUAAUUAGUUUCACUAUGUGUAUAUAUAUAUAUAUAUAUAUAUAUAUAUAUAUAUAUAUAUAUGUAUGUAUGUAUGUAUAUGUAAAAAAAUACAAACUGAGACAAGAACGCAAAACAUUUAGAAGACGAUACAAAAAACACGGACGGGACAUUCGAAGCCUUCAAUCUUCAGUCAAGAACCGGAUCAUCCUCGCAAUUUCGGCUGAUUAAUCUUGAGAUUGCUCCGACCUGGCCAGCGCCAAAGGAAAAUCUAAGCCAAGCGCAUUAGAUUCCUUGGAAGAAAGCCUCGAAUUGUAUACAAAACAAGGACGGAAAACCGGACGAUGUUACACGAAUAAGAAUACAAAAAUACGUAAAAACAAUUAUGAUAAUAAUAAAAACAAGAACAGGACAUCACAGACAAGCGUCUUUUCGACAGGACGAGUAAAUUUUGAGAUGGCGUUAGAAAAAUGCCUUAGGGCAAGUGAGAGAAAAAAAUGUGUCUUGCCGCAACGGCUGCUGACCACGAAAAGGCUAGCAAUCGGUCGGCUAGUCACGCGUAAGGAGAAGAGAGAGGAAAAGAGGGACAGAUGAAGAGAGAAAGAAGGGGAACAAGGAACAAAGGAAGAGGAGAAGAGAGAGAGAGAGAGAGAAAGAGACAGAUCAAAGUGGAGUGCAAAGUGUGAAAGGCAGAGAAAUGUAGGAGAGGGGGGAGAGAGACAGUAUUAUAGAGUCGUACUAAGUUUUAAAGAAAUAUGUACUUACAUAUGUACCAAAAAGGGUACGGGCGUCGCUAUAUAUAUAUAUAUAUAUGUAUAUGUAAAAAAAUACAAACUGGGACAAGAACGCAGAACAUUUAGAAGACGAUACGAAAAUCACGGACGGGACAUUUGAAGCCUUCAAUCUUCAGUCAAGAAGCGGAUCAUCCUCGCAAUUUCGGCUGAUUAAUCUUGAGAUUGCUCCGACCUGGCCAGCCCCAAAAGAAAAUCUAUGCCAAGCGCAUUAUAUAUAUAUAUAUAUAUAUAUAUAUAUAUAUGUGUGUGUGUGUGUGUGUGUCUUUGUGUGUGUGUGUGUGUGUGUGUGUGUGUGUGUGUAUGUGCGUGUGUGUGUGGAGGUGCAGUGGCCCAGUGGUCAGGGCAGCGGACUCGCGGUCGUAGGAUAGCGGUUUCGAUUCCCAGACCGGGCGUUGUGAGAGUUUAUUGAGCGAAAACACCUAAAGCUCCACGAGUCUCCGGCAGGGGGUGGUGGCGAUCCCUGCUGUACUCUUUCGCCACAACUCUCUCUUUCACUCUUUCUUCUGGUGGCCUGCUCGCUUAGCCAGCGGGAUGGCGUCAUUUGAAGGCUAAAAUAAUGCAAAGCGCAUUGUGACCAGCGAUGUGUAGCAACAUUUGAUAGCCUGGUCGGUCACGGUGGUAUACAUACAUACAUACAUACAUAUAUAUAUAUAUAUAUAAAAGUUUCAUUUCUAUUAGUUUCACUAUAUAUUUAGGUUUGCUAAAAUAGUGAACGUGUUCUGUUAUUUAUACGCAUUCAAUUAUAAUUAUUCCGUUAUAAAGAACAAUAAAUAAAUAGGCGCAGGUGUGGCUGUGUGAUAAGAAGCCUGUUUCCCAAUCACAUGGUUUCACGUGGCACCUUCUGCAAGCGUUUUCGUCUAUAGUCGGGGAUCAACUGAAACCUGAGUGGGUUUGGUAGAGAGAAACUAAAAGAAGCCCGUCGUAUAAGUGUAUGCAUAUAUCUGUUGUCAAGCAAUGCUAGGGAGACAAACACAUACACACACAUACUUAUAACGAACAGAUGCAUGCUUAUAACGAACAGAUGCAGACAUAUCAACGUGCCCCACCACCUCCAUUCCUCCACCAUCUCUUGUUGCUAUUUAUGCAAUAGGUGUGUCUGCCAGCCCUGUACGUUCUAUUGUUUAACUAAUAUACUCUAUACGUGAAUCAAUUUAUAUAAAGACAAUAUCACCUAAACCGUAUUCUAUACAAAUUCUGUUUUAAAGAAAGUGAAUUAAAUUAAAUAGAAUAAUAAUAAAAAUGUGUUAAAGCUUUGAAAUAUUGUUCUUGUCGUUGUUGAUGUUGUUAUCCACAUAAAAGCUUAUUAAAUAAGUUUGUGUGUGUGUGUGUGUGUGUGUGUGUGUAUAUGCGUAUGAGAGAGAGGUGGAGAGAAACAGAAAAAGAUUAAUGUUUGCGUGUAUAUCUAUAUCUAUGAAGUUGUGUAAACGUAUGUGUGUCUAUCUAUCUAUCUAUCUAUCUAUCUAUCUAUCUAUCUAUCUAUCUAUCUAUCUAUCUAUCUAUCUAUCUAUCUAUCUAUCUAUCUAUCUAUCUAUCUAUCUGCCCCCUCUUUAUCGAGUAUGGCCAUUGCACGAAGCUUAACUGUUACUGGUGCUGUUAUCGAAUGUGACUUUUUAGUCCAGCUAAAGAUCUACAAUGUCUUGUACAGAAUUGGUAGCUAAAACCUUUACCGGUAAUAGCCGGCUGUAGAAGGGCAUCGCUGUUACACUUCCAGAUGCGAAGGGUCUUCCUUUGAUGCUGACAUGCAAUGUCUGUGCAAGACCCUGCCUCAGUAAAGCUGGACUCAAGAGUCAUCUUCGUUGUCAUAAAGCGAGACAGAUGAGUGACAACCUGACCACUGGUGGUGGUGUAACACACCAUACUAAUCAUAUCUGUUGGGCGUGUGGAAGAGAGUGUAAUUCGGCAGGAGGACUUAAACGACAUGCAAAGGUACAUGAAGCCCAGUUACAACUACAGCCGACUAUAUAUAUAUACAUACAUACAUGCAUACGUAUAUAUGUCUAUAUACAUGUGUUUGUAUACAGAUACGCACACACAUAUGACAGAUGACCACUAAUGAGCAAACUUAGUAAUGACAGUUGAAUGCUAGGUUCAAUAAUACUUGCACAACACCACGCAGAUCCUCUCCAGUAUAGAAAUGAUACAGAUAUCAGCCAUGACAGCGUAACCGGUGUCGAUAUUGGGUUCAGUCUCAUGAGUAUAGAAGUGUUAUUAUCUUCAGUUAGCUUUGAAAAUCUCCAAAAUGGCAAUUGCUCUGUGACAAGAUUUUUUUUUAUUAUUUUUAAACCAGAGUAACUUUUUGUGGUAAAUUUUAACUAAUGUUUAAAGGUUGACUCAGUUCCUGUAAUGUUACAAUAACUCACUCAUUCUGCUUUCCAGUUAAAAAUUGCAAAAGAAUACAAUAGGAUGUUAAAAUUCUUUUGAGAGACUUGGAUCACACCUUCUGAAACCAAUAAUGUAGGAGGACACUUGUUUUCUAAUAGACCAAUUAGUAAUUGUUGAUAUUAUUUUCUUUUAAUAUUCAGACAUAUUUGGAAAAAGAAACAACGAAGAAUUUUUCUGUGUGUCUUUGUUCACUUGUGUGCUGCGAGAAUCCUUUUAAAAAACAUUCGGUAAGUCCUAUUCAUUUCACUGUCGUUUAGAAAUAAAGUCUUUGGUCUUUGAAAGUAAUUACUAAAAGGUAAGUUACUAUGGUUGUUGGAAUUAAACGGAAGAAGAGAGUUUUGUGUAUGUUCUUAAUAGAAAGUUUUCUUUUGCUAAU
rnacentral:lncRNA from 1 species